ACUCCUACGGGAGGCAGCAGUGGGGAAUAUUGCACAAUGGGCGCAAGCCUGAUGCAGCCAUGCCGCGUGUAUGAAGAAGGCCUUCGGGUUGAUAAAGUACUUUCAGCAGUGAGGAAAGGGUGGAGUCGUUAAUAGCGGCCUCAUUUGACGUUAGCUGCAGAAAGAAGCACCGGCUAAACUCCGUGCCAGCAGCCGCGGUAAUACGGAGGGUGCGAGCGUUAAUCGGAAUUACUGGGCGUAAAAGCGCAUGCAGGUGGUUUGUU
rnacentral:rRNA from 1 species